rnacentral:lncRNA from 1 species
AUGAGUCAGGACAUUGAAAAGUUGGUCUCAAGCCAAAUGUCUUAUCCUAGCAUUUUAGGCUUCUCCAUCUCACUUAUUAUCCCAUUUCUUCACUUGGCAUCCACAAAUACAACCCCUCACCCUCUGGGAGAGCCUGUGUGUAGAAGAGUAGUCUGCAGUGGAACAAUUAAUUCUAGGCUAGAAGAAACAUUUCAGAAGAGAAGAGCCCUUCCAUAUGCUUCUCAAAUCAGACCCUAGGCACACAGCUAAUUCUUCAACCUGUGACUAAGGUACAGUCUGGUCAUUUUUGUCCUAAAAACUGCUGGGUCCCACAAAACCACUGGGCAGGGAAAAUUUAAAAGCAUUGUCCUUACCUUUGCAUGCUGUGAUUUCAGAAAUCAGUUAGUUUUUGCUGAGAAGUGGUGCCAAAAAUUAGUGGUUUAAAACAAGCAUUCAUUAUUU